AAAUAAGAUGUCUGAAAAAAAGAAUUAUCUUGAUAGGAUAAAUUAUGUAAUUUUAUUACUCUUAUU
rnacentral:tRNA from 1 species